AGAGCUAGGAGUGGGAGAAUGACGGAGAACAAAAUGGCCCGAUAACUGUUACAACUAAUUAAAUGCAGCUGAUGGCUCGCAGACUGGCACCACUUUGAGUAGCACUGCUUUAGGGAGGUUGGCAACAGAGAGAGAGCAUCUGGCUAUCAAAUCCUGCUGCAAAGAACUCUUGUCUAAACCCAUGCUAGAAUGGAAAAACAGAUAUUGAACAAAUGGAUGAACAAUUUGUGCCAGGAAGAGGGUCAGUAACGAAUCCAAAGUUCUUUAACAUCUGAUAUCACAGCUGUGUUGAAAGGAACAAUAGUACAAAAAGUUGUUAAAUGUUUACAGCUGAAAUAUUUCUAGUCCCAACACUUAAUUAAAAAUAUGGUGGGAUCUUUUGCUGUAUUUUUGAAAUAAAGAUUAAUUAAAAACAAAA